rnacentral:rRNA from 1 species
GUCCACGCCGUAAACGAUGUCUACUAGCCGUUGGGAGCCUUGAGCUCUUAGUGGCGCAGCUAACGCACUAAGUAGACCGCCUGGGGAGUACGGUCGCAAGAUUAAACUCAAAUGAAUUGACGGGGCCCGCACAAGCGGUGGAGCAUGUGGUUUAAUUCGACGCAACGCGAAGAACCUUACCAGGUCUUGACAUCUAGAGAACUUUCCAGAGAUGGAUUGGUGCCUUCGGGAACUCUAAGACAGGUGCUGCAUGGCUGUCGU